UUCUGUGGAAAUAUGGAUAAAUUACUGUGUUUCCCUGAAAAUAUGACCUAUCCCAAAAAUAAGCCCUGGUUUGAUUUUUACACUUGUGCUCAAUAUAAGCCCUACCCCCC